UUUAAUUUUUUUAAUUUACAAUAUCUUUUUGUUAUUUUUUCUUUCGUUUAAUUCUAAACAUUAAGUUGUAUUCAAUAUGAUGGUACUAAUUCUAGAGACUAAGCAGUCUACAGCAAAGAGAUCUAAGAUCUCGGGUUACUUUCAAUCUAGUAAUAUUAACCAUUAAAGAAUUAAUUUGUUGAGCUUAGGCUUUCUACGAGUCCUUAUGUAGCCUUAUGUUUUCCUGAGGUUGCUGAGAUGCCACGAGUAGUUUCUGGCACAAAUAAUAAGUAUAAAAAUUAUUGUGACCUGUUUGUAACUGUCAUAACUCAUAUAACAUACUAGAAUCCAAAAGUAAAAGACAAAACCAACCGUCCUAUAAUUGAUAUGCUUAACCUUCAUAAGGGCUAUGUUACAGUAUCCUGUUUAACAAGAAUUCAUCAGUUACACCAUUCUUUGAUGCUAAUUGAAGAACUCUAGGCAAGAAUGGCAAUCGAACGAUUUCUAUGAAAAGUAUGAAGAGACAUGGAGAGAACAUUAUAUUAUUACUAACUGUCGCCCGCGACUCCGUCCGCGCGGGAUUAAACAUAGAUGUUAGACGAUU